UAAGUCGACCGCNNGNGGAGUACGGCCGCAAGGUUAAAAUUCAAAUGAAUNGANNNNNGCCCGCACAAGCGGUGGAGCAUGUGGUUUAAUUCGAUGCAACGCGANGAACCUUACCUACUCUUGACAUCCAGAGAANUUAGCAGAGAUGCUUUGGUGCNUUCGGGAACUCUGAGACAGGUGCUGCAUGGCUGUCGUCAGCUCGUGUUGUGAAAUGUUGGGUUAAGUCCCGCAACGAGCGCAACCCUUAUCCUUUGUUGCCAGCNNUCNGGCCGGGAACUCAAAGGAGACUGCCAGUGAUAAACUGGAGGAAGGUGGGGAUGACGUCAAGUCAUCAUGGCCCUUACGAGUAGGGCUACACACGUGCUACAAUGGCAUAUACAAAGAGAAGCGACCUCGCGAGAGCAAGCGGACCUCAUAAAGUAUGUCGUAGUCCGGAUUGGAGUCUGCAACUCGACUCCAUGAAGUCGGAAUCGCUAGUAAUCGUAGAUCAGAAUGCUACGGUGAAUACGUUCCCGGGCCUUGUACACACCGCCCGUCACACCAUGGGAGUGGGUUGCAAAAGAAGUANGUAGCUUAACCUUCGGGAGGGNGCUUA
rnacentral:rRNA from 1 species